ACGACCCGAACCCUGACGUUCUCAGCAAGACUGGUUUCACUCCUCUCCACAUUGCUGCUCACUAUGAGAAUCUGAGUGUCGCCCAGCUGCUGCUUAACAGAGGAGCCAAUGUAAACUUCACCCCGAAGAAUGGCAUCACACCC